rnacentral:rRNA from 1 species
AUUGAACGCUGGCGGCAUGCCUUACACAUGCAAGUCGAACGGCAGCACGGGAGCAAUCCUGGUGGCGAGUGGCGAACGGGUGAGUAAUAUAUCGGAACGUGCCCAGGUCGUGGGGGAUAACGUAGCGAAAGCUACGCUAAUACCGCAUACGAUCUAUGGGAGUGAAAGCGGGGGAUCGCAAGACCUCGCGCGAUUGGAGCGGCCGAUAUCAGAUUAGGUAGUUAGGUGAGGUAAAGGACUCACCAAAGCCGUACGAUCUGUAGCUGGUC